GAAAUGCGAUAAGUAGUGUGAAUUGCAGAAUUCAGUGAAUCAUCGAAUCUUUGAACGCACAUUGCGCCCUUUGGUACUCCUUAGGGCAUGCCUGUUCGAGCGUCAUCUAAACCUUCAAGCCCUGCUUGGUGUUGGGUGCCUGUCCCGCCUCCGCGCGCGGACUCACCUCAAAUCCAUUGGCGGCCCCCGCGUCGGCCACGAGCGCAGCAGAAACGCGAACUCGUGAGCCCGUCCGGGCGGCUCCCAGAAGCUACACCCACCCAGUUUGACCUCGGAUCAGGUAGGGAUACCCGCUGAACUUAAGC
rnacentral:misc_RNA from 1 species